rnacentral:rRNA from 1 species
GAUCAUGGCUCAGGAUGAACGCUAGCUACAGGCUUAACACAUGCAAGUCGAGGGGCGGCGGGAUUGAAGCUUGCUUCAAUUGCCGGCGAUCGGCGCACGGGUGAGUAACGCGUAUCCAACCUUCCGUACACUCAGGGAUAGCCUUUCGAAAGAAAGAUUAAUACCUGAUGGUAUCUUAAGCACACAUGUAAUUAAGAUUAAAGAUUUAUCGGUGUACGAUGGGGGUGCGUUCCAUUAGGUAG